GCAGAACUGGGGAAACACAAGCAGGGAAUGUCCUCUGACAUCCUCUUAAGUUGUAUGGGUGUGGUGGCUCCUAGAAACCCAGGGCAGUCUCUGCAGGUUGUGCAACACUUCCAAGCAACCCUGGAGAGUAUUAAACCUUACAGUUGCUGGAAGAUGGUGAGCAUCCCGGUGGCCAGCUCCAAAGGGAAUAGUGGACUUUUUAGUUGUUGUUGUUCAAAGUCUCUGGUGGCACAGGAGUUGCCUAGUUAAGCUCUUUCCUGAUUGCCUGGGAGCAAAUUCCGUCCAUUUGUGUUUGGGAGUGUGCCCUCUCAGAAUCAGGACAAAAGGGUCUUCCGUGUAUUUCCUUGCUUCUGUCCCUGAGUUUUGGGAGAGUGGACACUCUCUUGUUGCCCUACCCAGAGGCCCAUCUGUAGAGUCUACUAGCACCUGCCUCUGGACCCUCUGCAGGUGAACGGCCAUUCCCCUUGGCCCCACCUGGACAUUUUUAGAGCGAGGCUUCAAGCCCGCAGUACCUGAUUACCUGGGAAAUGCAGAAACACCGGAUUUAUCCCAUCUAGAGGCGCCAAUAGGCACCUUCCCCGCCUUCUUUUCUCUUAACUCUCCCAGAGUUCUCUACAGCCAAGAUAGUUAUCGCUCUUGAAAAAGAAUCAAGACAAUCUAGUCUUUCAGGUAGCUUAGAGAGAGGCAUGGACGUUUUCAGUUGAGAGUUCAGGUCCUAAACAAGGAAUGUCCGACCUCCAGGUGCAGGGAAGACUCCCCACACCCACUUCCUCUCCCUCCGUAGCACCCCUUGUCACUUGUGGGACCACCGAAGUGGGAGACGCUCGACUGCCCUGCUGGCAAGGAGCCUUGCGGGCCGGGGAGGGCAUCGAGUUACUCGAAAAGGUUGCUCCGCUCCUCCCUCACUCCUCUCUCACACUCGGGGGUGCUCCGGGUGGGAGCAGGCACAGAGCCCAUCUCAAAUACUCGGCGGUAGAAGGACCCGGGAGCGAAGUGCACAGCCGGAGCCACCAGGACCCUCGGCUCUCCCACCCACUUGCUCCUCCCGCCCACCUGCCAGUCCCGCCUGGCCAGCUGGCAGCCGCUGCGCCUUUCUCUACUCGCCCGGAGUCCGCCUGGCGCGCGCAGUACCAGCGGCUCCCGGCGCUCUCGGCCGCCGGGACACUCUCCGCCCCGGACGCCGUCUCGGGCCUGAGAACAGGUGGCCUCGGAGAGGAGCGCGCCGACAGUCGCCUCUCACUCACCCAGAAGAUGAAGUUAAAUCCGAAGAGCAGAAGCAGCAUCUCACUGACCCUACACAGAACUUGCUACAUAGAGCAGGCUGGCCUGAAACUCUGAUGUUUGCCACCUGAUGUGUGCCACUGCUCCAGCCUUAAGGAAAUUUGGGUUUGUCAUGUAUGAAG
rnacentral:lncRNA from 1 species